rnacentral:rRNA from 1 species
UACGAAGGGUGCAAGCGUUACUCGGAAUUACUGGGCGUAAAGCGUGCGUAGGCGGUUUGUUAAGUCCGUUGUGAAAGCCCUGGGCUCAACCUGGGAAUUGCAGUGGAUACUGGCGAGCUAGAGUGCGGUAGAGGAUGGUGGAAUUCCCGGUGUAGCGGUGAAAUGCGUAGAGAUCGGUAGGAACACCAAUGGCGAAGGCAGCUUGCUGGCAGUGUAUCUGGACGCUAAGGCACGAAAGCGUGGGGAGCGAACAGG